GGCAAGACAGCAGCGGGCACAGUGCCGAAAGGCCGUGCGUGAGGAAAGUCCGGGCUUCGCAGGGCAGGGGUAGCUGCUAACGGCAGCCGGAGGCGACUCCAGGGAUAGUGCAACAGAAAGGUACCGCCGGGGUCUUCCCGGUAAGGGUGGAAAGGCGAGGUAAGAGCUCACCAGCGCAUGGGAGACCAUGCGGCUGUGUAAACCCUACCCGAAGCAACACCGCAAUGGGGGCAUACAGCAUCGGCCCGGUGCGCUCCCGGUCAGGUGGCUGAAGCCGUGGGGCGACCUGCGGCUUAGAAAGAUUGUUGUCAAAUACAGAACUCGGCUUAUAUGUCUGGUCG
rnacentral:RNase_P_RNA from 1 species